GAUGAACGCUAGCGGCAGGCUUAAUACAUGCAAGUCGUGGGGCAGCAGGUUUGUAGCAAUACAGAUGCUGGCGACCGGCAAACGGGUGCGGAACACGUACAGAACCUUCCUUUGAGCGGGGAAUAGCCCAGAGAAAUUUGGAUUAAUACCCCAUAGUAUAAUGAAGUGGCAUCACUUUAUUAUUAAAGAUUUAUCACUCGAAGAUUGGCUGUGCGGCUGAUUAGGUAGUUGGCGGGGUAAAGGCCCACCAAGCCUGCGAUCAGUAACUGGUGUGAGAGCACGACCAGUCACACGGGCACUGAGACAGGGCCCGACUCCUACGGGAGGCAGCAGUAAGGAAUAUUGGACAAUGGAGGCAACUCUGAACCAGCCAUGCCGCGUGAGGAUGAAGGUCCUCUGGAUUGUAAACUUCUUUAUAUGGACGAAAAAAGGCUUUUCUAAGUCGUCUGACGGUACCAUAUGAAUAAGCACCGGCUAACUCCGUGCCAGCAGCC
rnacentral:rRNA from 1 species